rnacentral:tRNA from 1 species
CGCUCCGCAAGUUCAGUGGCCGUAACGCCGUCGAAUGAAGACGGAGGAUGCGGGUUCGAUUCCCGCCCGGAGCGA